GCCCCCGUGAGAAUGCCCUAUCUUUGCCCCACCUGGAAGAAAGGAGCCGGUCUCAGGCACAAACCUUAGCCCAAGACACCUUGCUUAGCCACACCCACACGGGCCUACCAGCAGUAAUAAACAUUGAGCCAUGAGUGAAAGCUUGACUCAGUAAUAUCAAGAGGGCCGGUCAAACUCGUGCCAGCCACCGCGGUUAUACGAGAGGCCCAAGUUGACAACAAUCGGCGUAGAGAGUGGUUAAUAAGUUUUUUACUAAAGCCAAACACCUUCUAGACUGUUAUACGUUACCGAAAAAAGGAAGUCCAACCACGAAAGUAGCUUUAUGUCUAUGACCCCACGAAAGCUAGGGAACAAACUGGGAUUAGAUACCCCACUAUGCCUAGCCCUAAACAAAAGUAUUUUAUUACCCCAACAUUCGCCAGGGAACAACGAGCCCCAGCUUAAAACCCAAAGGACUUGGCGGUGCUUUAAACCCACCUAGAGGAGCCUGUUCUUGAACCGAUACUCCCCGUUUAACCUCACCCCCUCUUGUUUAACCCGCCUAUAUACCGCCGUCGUCAGUUUACCCUGUGAGGGACCACUUAGUAAGCAAAAAUGUCACAGCCCAAAACGUCAGGUCGAGGUGUAGCGUAUGAGGGGGGAAGAAAUGGGCUACAUUUACUGACCCAGUACAAACGAACUUUGCUAUGAAACUAGCACAUGAAGGAGGAUUUAGCAGUAAGGAGAGGAAUAGAGUGCCCCCCUGAAACCGGCCCUAAAGCGCGCACACACCGCCCGUCACUCUCCCCAAAAACAAUAAAACCAAUACCUAAUAAAAUAGAAACUAAAAGGGGAGGCAAGUCGUAACAUGGUAAGUGUACCGGAAGGUGCACUUGGAAAAAU
rnacentral:ncRNA from 1 species